UGAAACUUUAACAGAACUCUUCGGGGCGAAGAUAAAGUGGAUUAGCGGCGGACGGGUGAGUAACACGUGAGUAACCUGCCUUAGACAUUGGGAUAGCCUCGGGAAACCGGGAUUAAUACCAAAUAAAAUCAUAAUGACACAUGUCAUAACGAUCAAAACUCCGGUGGUCUAAGAUGGACUCGCGUCCCAUUAGCUAGUUGGUAGAGUAAAAGCCUACCAAGGCGACGAUGGGUAGCCGGCCUGAGAGGGUGAACGGCCACAUUGGAACUGAGAAACGGUCCAAACUCCUACGGGAGGCAGCAGUGGGGAAUAUUGCACAAUGGAGGGAACUCUGAUGCAGCGACGCCGCGUGAACGAAGAAGGCUUUCGAGUCGUAAAGUUCUUUUAUAUGGGAAGAUAAUGACGGUACCAUAAGAAAAAGCCCCGGCUAACUACGUGCCAGCAGCCGCGGUAAUACGUAGGGGGCUAGCGUUGUCCGGAAUCACUGGGCGUAAAGGGUUCGCAGGCGGAAAUGCAAGUCAGAUGUAAAAGGCAGUAGCUUAACUACUGUAAGCAUUUGAAACUGCAUAUCUUGAGAAGAGUAGAGGUAAGUGGAAUUUUUAGUGUAGCGGUGAAAUGCGUAGAUAUUAAAAAGGAAUACCGGUGGCGAAGGCGACUUUCUGGCCAU
rnacentral:rRNA from 2 species